CACGUAGGCACCAAGCGUUUGUCCGGAUUUAUUGGGCGUAAAGGGCUCGUAGGCGGUUCGGUAAGUCGGGUGUGAAAACUCUGGGCUCAACCCAGAGCCGCCACCCGAUACUGCUGUGACUCGAGUGCGGUAGGGGAGCGGGGGAAUUCCUGGUGUAGCGGUGAAAUGCGCAGAUAUCAGGAGGAACACCAGUGGCGAAGGCGCCGCUCUGGGCCGGAACUGACGCUGAGGCGCGAAAGCGUGGGUAGCAAACAGG
rnacentral:rRNA from 1 species